CCGCACAGGCCAUAACAGACGGACUUGUGAGACUUUUGAUAUCGAAUGGAGACUGGGGCAAGACUGUGAUUGAGUACAGGACUCAGACGCCAGCCAGACUACCUAUCGUAGACUUGGCCCCCAUGGACAUAGGCAAGGAGGAUCAGGAAUUUGGCCUGGACAUCGGACCUGUGUGUUUCUCCUAAACCCAACACACAUGGAUGGAUUGAUUUCUUUAACCCUUUGAGGAGUGCAUUUUUUAGAACGCCAUCCUCAGUUCUCAGUUUAAAGAGGCAAUCUGGAUUUCAAACAUUCUUCAAGAAUCAAUGGCUAUAUAUCAUUCAUUUAAAAUAUUGCCCCUUUAAGAAUUAGGUUUCAGUUCAAUAACUAAUAAUGAUUAGACCCACCUGUUGUAUAAUGAACAACAACCCCUUGUGAUGUCAUCAAUUAGAAUCGGUUAGAAUGUUGUCGUCCAUUCUCCUCCAAAGGGUUAAUUAUUCCCAAGACUCUUGGACUACCUGCUGAAGCAAUCAGCGUUGUACAUAAAGGCCGGGCGGAGAAACAUGUCCUGCCUGCUACUAAAUUAUUUAUUGCAUUUUUCCAAGAUACAACUAAAGUUGUUAGUGCAAUGGUACUGGUAGCAAUUAUUAUUGAGGAAUGCAGGUGAAUUGUAUUAGAAGGUUAUUGUGACAUAAUGGAGUUUCAGGUCCUGAAGGUUUAAGCUUGUUGAAAACGUGACAAUUUAUGGAACUUAAGUUAUGAGUGUCAGUGUUGUAUGACGUUCCAUCAUACAGUUUCUCAGUGAAUGCCACUAAAUAGAUAUACUUUCACUUGAUGUUGAGACAAAACAACAACAAUUGUAUUCCUUUUUCAAAUGUAAAUGCAACAUAAGAAUGUAAAUUGCCCUUCACACGUUUAUUAUUCCUGUUUAUUGUUGAUAUUAUUAUAUUUUCUUCUUUCGACUGAUGGUGUUACACCCAAUAAAAUGAAUCUCAUGCC